ACAUGCCUACAACGUAGCAUUAAUGCACCAGAUCCAAUUAGAAAUCCAUAGUUAAGCAUGCUUAGGCUAAAGUAGUACUGGGAUGGGUUAUUGCCCGGGAAGUCCUAGUGUUUUACAUGCC
rnacentral:rRNA from 1 species